CCUACGGGGGGCAGCAGUGGGGAAUAUUGCGCAAUGGGCGAAAGCCUGACGCAGCGAUGCCGCGUGAGGGAUGAAGGUCUUCGGAUCGUAAACUUCUGUCAGCAGGGAAGAACGGUCACUGUGCUAAUCAGCAGUGAAUUGACGGUACCUGCAGAGGAAGCACCGGCUAACUCCGUGCCAGCAGCCGCGGUAAUACGGAGGGUGCGAGCGUUAAUCGGAAUUACUGGGCGUAAAGCGCUCGUAGGCGGUAUGUCAAGUCAAGGGUGAAAUCCCCGCGCUCAACGUGGGAACUGCCUUUGAAACUGGCAAGCUGGAGUGUGUGAGAGGAGAGUGGAAUUCCAGGUGUAGGGGUGAAAUCCGUAGAGAUCUGGAGGAACAUCGGUGGCGAAGGCGACUAUCUGGCACAUGACUGACGCUGAGGAGCGAAAGCGUGGGUAGCAAACAGGAUUAGAUACCCGAGUAGUC
rnacentral:rRNA from 1 species